AUGAAUACAUUUCUUUCUUGUUGUCCCAUGAUUUUCACUUAGCAAAAAGAGUUAAUGUCAACGCGAAACUGAUUGUGAGGACGAACAAAGGAUUACUGUAAUUGAAGGAACUAUGGGAAAGUUCUCCUUCCCAAGGCUCAUCAUAAGAAUGCCAUGGGCAAAUCGGACUGCACAGGACGAUUUCUGCACAGGAACUACUGAACUCCACAGGCCCAGAACACACCAGCCUCACAACUCCUCACAACUCCCCAGCCUUAAUGUGUGUAGGCAGGGCAAGGAGGACAUCGAUUCAACCCAGAAGAAGAGGAAAAAGAAGAGGCUAAAUGAGAAGGGAACCCAGGUUGAACUAGGCAUGCGGGAGGAUAUCCAUGACCUUGACCGCGCCCAUUGGAGAUUGGCUAGAGAGACAUGGAGAACUGAGCGAGGAAACAUGAGGGAGAUUAAGGCGCUGUAUGGAGAAAUAUUUAGGCUGCACCAACUCUUGGAGGAGAUUGGGGUGGAUAAAGGGGUGAUCAAGCAGCGCUCCACCUCCAUUCUUUGUCCCGUCUCCCCGACACUGCCAGCUUUCCCCUGGUACAACCUCCACAGGUUCCUCGCCAACAGCCAUUCGGAGCCAGACCAGCAUGCUGCCGGCACCCAGAAGGACCCAUCUAAGAAACAUUCAAUCUUUCCCCCUCUGGACACACAGAGCUGCACCUCCCCUGAAAGAUGGCCUCAUUCAACGUCCAAGACGUCACACCCACACGCUUCACACCGAUUUGCUGUCCCAUCCCACCCCCUGGUUUCCGGCCCUCCUGCCCGGAUGAGACAGACCCAUCCGCAUGUCCACCCCAGGUCCCCAUUGACUGGCCAGGCAAAGGUCAAGGAUGAGGUCAAGAGGCCAGAGAUUGCAUCGUCUGAGGAAUU